CUGGCUUUGCUGCUCCGCAGCCGCUUUUCCCCCCGGACGCCCGGGGGACUGGACUCAGGACACGGUGCCGCUCUGCCCAGCUCUGGGGACAGGUUUGGUCCCGGAGCCGUCUGCUGCUGGAGGAGGCAACACAGGAGCGUGGUCUGGCAGGUGCCUGGGAGGCUGGGAUAUCCCUGCUCUGCCUGCCGCCUCCCUAAAGCGCGAUCCCCGGCACCGGGAAGUCCCGGUCGCAGCGGGAGAACAAAGUACGGCCGGGGCGAUCGGCGGGGAAAAUGAGCAGGGCAACGUUUUGUUUUGCGUCGGGUUUCACAGAACCGAAAGCCGGUCCUCUUCCCCUGCAGGCGAACGGGUAUAUGACUCAAACACGUUCUUGCUUUCCUACCUGCAUCCCCCUGGUUCUCUUAAUGAAAGGAUACUCGAGCAGUGUCUCGAGGCAUUUUCAUAUAACCCCUGCUGAAGACUUAGUAAGAGCCUCUGUACUGCAAAAUACCAUUUGCAUUGUUGGGGUACAGUUGUGGUAAAAAGGAGAUUUUGGGCCAUCUUUGUUUCACAAAAGUCCCACGGUGCUAACCUUGCACUGGGUACAGGAGGGAUGGACCAAAAGAGAGAGAAUAGUCCCCACGUCUCUGCUCUCUAGGUUUUCCCGAAUACAAGAUGCUACCUUUCUACACCACAAACUAGGACAGCAGUUACUGGGGAACCACCUCCGGAACCCAUAACCUAUGCAUAGGCUGCUGGGGGGGAUCAAAUUCCAUCACAGCAGCCUCCAGGGAGGUCUCAGAAAAGGCUGAUUUCCUUAGCUGGUUCUUGCAAAAGCUGCACCAUUCUGCACACUUUUUGAUGGCAAUACAGGAUGCUAAAAACCCUGUGCCACAGUCACACAGCCGAUUUUCCCUUACUCCAGUGCAUUCUGUGAUUUUCCGUAUCCGAGCUGAUUUGGAACGUGAGUAGGUUUUUAGAAGAAAACCAGAUAAAGAUAGGAUAUACACAGCUAAUUGAUGACAUAUCUCCACAGAACAGCCUCGUUUAAACUCGAAGGAUGUAGUCCGUGCUGCCACCUACGUCUUCUGAUUCAGGUUUCUUGUGUACUGCAACUUUGAUUCGUAGGCAUCCUUUGCAGGAGGCAGCUCACAUUUUGUGAGGCUCCACGAGGGACCACAAACUGGCGGCUCUGGCUGCACUAAGGAAUGAAGCAAAAGGUUUCUCACUGGCUCAGCCACUUGUUUGGUUGCAGUGACGAUGCCUAGAUGCAGAUUAGGAGCCAGCAGUCACAUCAGUGAAAUGAGAAACCCUGUUUUCAUUGUUUGGCUGCUAGAGGGAACAUGAUGUUUCAUGGACUCAGGACCAAGAUGGGGCAUGGACAAAGAGGAGAUUUUGCAGGGAUUGGAAAGAUUUUACAAAUAAACAUUAAAAUUAAAAAAAAAACAAAGUUCAUCCAGGCACGAAGUCCAGCAGGAGAGAAAUGGACAGCACUGUCUGUAAAAGCAAGAAUGGCAAAGAGAUGGUCUGAAUAAAUCCAUUGCACUAAUGAUUUUCUAUACAUGAAUAUCCAAUACAAAGUUACACUGAGUCAGUCUUUGGGGUUUCCCUGUAUAGCAGAGAAUCCUGAGCCUGAAAAGGGAAGCAGGUUUUGUAAGGGAUUUGCAUAUCAUGGAGUGACUCUGGUUUGCAGAUUUUAAGCAUUACUAAAUUGGGGAAUAAAUUGUUGCUAUUGCUGUUACAUACCAGGAUAUCUCACUAAUCCACGCAAUCCACUAAGUUGCUGUAGUUUUAGUCUGUCUUUAUUUUAGAUGAAAUUAUGGCCUGGACAGUUAAUUUUUCUUAGUUUAUCCAUAUAAAUCAUAUAUAAAUAAGGUAUCAAACAGAAACCAAAACAUGACCUAUGUUUUUGGUACACUCCCCAUCAUGUGAACCUGCCAGUGAUAGAGCUCUGCACCCAGUUUACAAGUCAAACACAAAGGCAAUGAAAAACCACACGUCUUCUUGAAAAGUAGUCAUUUGGCAUUAAAUUCUCUUGCUUUAAUCCUCUAGCUGGCCUAUUUUGCUUAUAUUUGAGACUGCCUAGCCAUUAUAGGAUUGCCUGCACUGUCCUUUCCUUACAACAAGCUAAUUACAAAUUAAGGCACUUAGCAGGGCUGAGAGGCUGGAGCUGGUCCUUUCUGAGUUUGGAAAUGCCUGUUGCUUUACAGUGGAUGAUUCCUAAAGUGAGGGGCAAACACAGAGGGAACCAAACAGCCUGGAACCAAAGUGGUCACACUGGCUUUUGAAAAAAGUGACUGUCUCAAGUUAACUGACAGUCAGCUACCUGAAAAUAAAAACCUCUCACAUAUCCAAAGGUUUUCUCUGGGAUUUUCAAGAUCUCCUGAGCAAUUUAAAAUCCUUGAAAGGAAUGCACUAUAGAAUGAAAAAUGUAAGUAUUAUUAAAGAAUGUCUCUGAACUGAAAGCCAGCCAGUUUCAUAAAAAUGAGCUAAAAAAGCAAUAACAGGUAGUCUGUCUCCUGUUGGAUGCUGUAUGAACCGUAUGUUUUGUAUUUUGGAAGUCACUCUAAAACAAUGGUUUUUUCUUCACUAUUGCUGAUGGGAAGAACAGUAGAAGAACUAUGUAUAAAUGAGAUUAAAGUAAUCUAAUUUAAAAAAA